AUACUUACCUGGCAGGGGAGACACCAUGAUCAUGAAGGUUUUGUUUCCAGGGCAAGGCUUAUCCAUUGCACUGUAGAUGUGCUGACUCCUGAAAAUUCCCUAAAUGUGGGAAACUUUAUUACAUAAUUUGUGGUAAUGAAGUACUAUGUACAUGCUUUCCCU
rfam:Cavia porcellus supercont2_97 genomic scaffold, whole genome shotgun sequence.